ACGUUCAUCAGUCAUCUACAAGAGUAGCUGGGAAUAUUAGUAUCUAUACAGCUACUAAUCUAAAUCUACAAGAGAAUAGAGAAUAUUAUAGUACUGUACUAGCUUAUAAUAAAGCAGGAUUAUUGAGCUGGGCCAAUAGUGAUGGAAUAUUAAUAGACAAUACAACUCCCACUUCCGGUAUUAUACAUGAUGGUAAUGAUAUCUAUGAUAAAGAUUACCAAUACUCUACAACAGUUAUAUCCUCAUCAUGGUAUGGUUUUACUGAUAGUGGUACUGGUAUAGUGAAAUAUUACUGGUGUAUUGGUACUGAUAUUAGUACUACAGAUUGUAAUAUACACGACUGGAAGAAUGUAGGAUUAAAUACUAGAGUGUCUGUAAACCUAACCUCACCUUUAAAUCAUGGUAUGAAAAUUUAUAAUAAAGUGUAUGCUGUAGAUGGGAGUGGGUUAAAAUCUGAUGUAGCAGUGUCUGAUGGUACUACAAUUGAUACCACGCCCCCAGUACCGGUUGAUAUAGAUUAUAUUGGAGAAAAUCUCAUCGCCAAUCCAUCAUUUGAAGAAGGCGUGACAGAAUCAAAUAAGGAAUGUGAUGACCAACCACCAGCUCCUUGGUAUAUUGACUCCACCUCGUGUAUUAAAAUCAUCCAAUCACCACCUUCCGUUUCAAAAGAGGGUGGAGCCUAUAUUAAAGUGAAAGGUCAUAUUCAACAAACAGUUUUUUAUUUAAACACCCAAAGUGCUUACCAUGUUAUAGUACAUGUUGGAUAUCCACAUGAUGUUAGCAUUCAGCAUGACAACGUGGAAGGUUUCGUGCAAUUCGGACAAGAAAUUCACACUUUCAGCCUUGACCCAGAACGAUGUCAGGGGAUAUGUGACAUCGACCAACAGCCAUUAAUAUUAUGGAAUAAAUUUACUUAUGUAUUCCAUCCAAGAGAAGCAAGAGAAGUGAUAAGAAUUGGUACAAGUAAAUUACAUAUGAUAUUAGCUGUAGAUGAUGUAUAUGUACAACAAGUUAAUUAUAUAGAUAUAACAAGUGACUCUAAUCAUUUAAUACACCAUACAGUGUUUAGACCUUAUUGGUCAUCUCUUCAUCUUACCUGGCAUUUUAAAGAUGAUCAAAGUCCUAUUACAGAUUAUCAAUGGGCACUAGGAACUGUGCAAGGUGGAACCCAGAUUCGGGCGUUCACAAGUGUUGGCAGAAAUCAACAAGCUACAGCAUCCGGUCUAAAAUUAGCCCAUAAUACACUACUUUAUCUGACUGUGAUGUCAACCAAUGGCGUC